rfam:Apaloderma vittatum contig56283, whole genome shotgun sequence.
UAGCUCAGUCGGUUUGAGUGUGGUGCUGAUAACACCAAGGUUGUGGGUUCGAUCCCCGU